rnacentral:rRNA from 1 species
GAUGAACGCUGGCGGCGUGCCUAAUACAUGCAAGUCGAGCGAACGGACGAGAAGCUUGCUUUUCUGAUGUUAGCGGCGGACGGGUGAGUAACACGUGGAUAACCUACCUAUAAGACUGGGAUAACUUCGGGAAACCGGAGCUAAUACCGGAUAAUAUUUUGAACCGCAUGGUUCAAAAGUGAAAGACGGUCUUGCUGUCACUUAUAGAUGGAUCCGCGCUGCAUUAGCUAGUUGGUAAGGUAACGGCUUACCAAGGCAACGACGCAUAGCCGACCUGAGAGGGUGGUCGGCCACACUGGAACUGAGACACGGUCCAGACUCCUACGGGAGGCAGCAGUAGGGAAUCUUCCGCAAUGGGCGAAAGCCUGACGGAGCAACGCCGCGUGAGUGAUGAAGGUCUUCGGAUCGUAAAACUCUGUUAUUAGGGAAGAACAUAUGUGUAAGUAACUGUGCACAUCUUGACGGUACCUAAUCAGAAAGCCACGGCUAACUACGUG